UUCCGGUUGAUCCUGCCGGACCUGACUGCUAUCGGAUUGAUACUAAGCCAUGCGAGUCUUUGCAGUAAUGCAAGGCAUACGGCUCAGUAACACGUAGUCAACUUACCCUAUGGACGAGGAUAAUCUCGGGAAACUGAGCAUAAUACUCGAUAGAUCAUAAUGCCUGGAAUGGUUUAUGGUUGAAAUGAUUCGUCGCCAUAGGAUGGGACUGCGGCCUAUCAGCUUGUUGGUGAGGUAAUGGCCCACCAAGGCGAUUACAGGUACGGGCUCUGAGAGGAGAAGCCCGGAGAUGGGUACUGAGACAAGGACCCAGGCCCUAUGGGGCGCAGCAGGCGAGAAAACUUUGCAAUGUGCGAAAGCACGACAAGGUUAAUCCGAGUGAUUUCUGCUAAAGAAAUCUUUUGCAAGUCAUAAAACCACUAGUGAAUAAGGGGUGGGCAAGUUCUGGUGUCAGCCGCCGCGGUAAAACCAGCACCUCAAGUGGUCAGGAGGAUUAUUGGGCCUAAAGCAUCCGUAGCCGGCUCUGUAAGUUUUCGGUUAAAUCCAUGUGCUCAACGCAUGGGCUGCCGAAAAUACUGCAUAGCUAGGGAGUGGGAGAGGUAGACGGUACUCGGUAGGAAGGGGUAAAAUCCUUUGAUCUAUCGAUGACCACCUGUGGCGAAGGCGGUCUACCAGAACACGUUCGACGGUGAGGGAUGAAAGCUGGGGGAGCAAACCGGAUUAGAUACCCGGGUAGUCCCAGCUGUAAACGAUGCAGACUCGAUGAUGCAUUGGCAUAUAGCCAGUGCAGUGUCGCAGGGAAGCCGUUAAGUCUGCCGCCUGGGAAGUACGUACGCAAGUAUGAAACUUAAGGAAUUGGCGGGGGAGCACCACAAGGGGUGAAGCCUGCGGUUCAAUUGGAGUCAACGCCGG
rnacentral:rRNA from 1 species